AGAAAAACGCUUGAGUCUCGUUAAAAAUUUGAAAUCAUGAUGCUGAAAAUACUAGUGCUGCUAGUUUUGUCCAUUUUCUACCUAAAUGGUAAUGUUGAAGCCGAUAAACCCAGGAUUGAAACUGAUGUGAUACAACAUGAUCUUCAUCCAAAGCGAAAGACGGCACAAUGCUACCAUGAAAAAUUUGGACAUUUAAACAGAGGCUACACCAAAUUGCCUGGAAAAUGUAUUCAAUUAUCUUGCCAUAUACAGGGAUACAUAGAGGAGACAAGGUGUAAGAACGUGAUUUCGAAGGAGCCGAACUGUGUUAACAGGCCGAAGGAUCCUAAGAAAUCUUUUCCAGAUUGUUGUCCAGUCAAAUGUGCUAAACGCUCGGCUAAACACUAGUCUGUAGCCUCGCUGGGUGACUCAAUAAAAAUCUAUUCAAAAUA